UAGGGAAUUUUGGACAAUGGGCGCAAGCCUGAUCCAGCCAUGCCGCGUGAAGGAUGAAGUAUUUCGGUAUGUAAACUUCGAAAGAAUAGGAAGAAUAAAUGACGGUACUAUUUAUAAGGUCCGGCUAACUACGUGCCAGCAGCCGCGGUAAUACGUAGGGACCAAGCGUUGUUCGGAUUUACUGGGCGUAAAGGGCGCGUAGGCGGCAAUUCAAGUCAUCUGUGAAAUCUCCGGGCUUAACUCGGAACGGUCAGAUGAUACUGCUUUGCUAGAGUGCAGAAGGGGCAAUCGGAAUUCUUGGUGUAGCGGUGAAAUGCGUAGAUAUCAAGAGGAACACCUGAGGUGAAGACGGGUUGCUGGGCUGACACUGACGCUGAGGCGCGAAAGCCAGGGGAGCAAACGGGAUUAGAUACCCCAGUAGUCCCUGAGCGGGCUGGCAAGGCGCAU
rnacentral:rRNA from 1 species